AUUUUCCGGUUGAUCCUGCCGGACCCGACUGCUAUCAGAGUGAGAUUAGCCAUGCGAGUCAACGUAGCAAUACGUGGCACACGGCUCAGUAACACGUAGUCAACAUAACCAGAGGACGUGGAUAAACUCGGGAAACUGAGGCUAAACCGCGAUAGACCAAGAUACCUGGAAUGGUUUUUGAUCAAAAUCUAUAUGGCCUUUGGAUUGGACUGCGACCGAUCAGGCUGUUGGUGAGGUAAUGGCCCACCAAACCUGUUACCGGUACGGGCUCUGAGAGGAGGAGCCCGGAGAUGGGUACUGAGACAAGGGCCCAGGCCCUAUGGGGCGCAGCAGGCGCGAAAACUCUGCAAUAAGCGAAAGCUUGACAGGGCUAUUCUGAGUGAUUUCCGCUAAGGAAGUCUUUUGGCACCUCUAAAAAUGGUGCAGAAUAAGGGGUGGGCAAGCCUGGUGUCAGCCGCCGCGGUAAUACCAGCACCCCGAGUGGUCGGGACGAUUAUUGGGCCUAAAGCAUCCGUAGCCGGUUCUACAAGUCUUCCGUUAAAUCCAUCUGCUUAACAGAUGGGCUGCGGAGGAUACUAUGGAACUAAGAAGCGGGAGAGGCAAGCGGUA
rnacentral:rRNA from 1 species